rnacentral:rRNA from 1 species
CAGUCGCCGCGGGAAAACGAAGGGGGCUAGCGUUGUUCGGAUUAACUGGGCGUAAAGGGCGCGUAGGCGGGUUUUUAAGUCAGAGGUGAAAUCCCAAGGCUCAACCCAGAGUCUGCAGGCGAAACUGUCGGGCUUGAGUAUGGGAGAGGUGAGUGGAAUUUCCGGUGUAGCGGUGAAAUGCGUAGAUAUUCGGAGGAACACCAGUGGCGAAGGCGACUACCUGGUCUGGCAUUGACGCUCAUGUGCGAAAGCGUGGGGAGCAAACAGGAUUAGAUACCCCCGUAGUCCCUGUCUCUUAUAC